rnacentral:rRNA from 1 species
GAUGAACGCUGGCGGCGUGCCUAAUACAUGCAAGUCGAGCGAACAGACGAGGAGCUUGCUCCUCUGACGUUAGCGGCGGACGGGUGAGUAACACGUGGAUAACCUACCUAUAAGACUGGGAUAACUUCGGGAAACCGGAGCUAAUACCGGAUAAUAUAUUGAACCGCAUGGUUCAAUAGUGAAGGACGGUUUUGCUGUCACUUAUAGAUGGAUCCGCGCCGCAUUAGCUAGUUGGUAAGGUAACGGCUUACCAAGGCAACGAUGCGUAGCCGACCUGAGAGGGUGAUCGGCCACACUGGAACUGAGACACGGUCCAGACUCCUACGGGAGGCAGCAGUAGGGAAUCUUCCGCAAUGGGCGAAAGCCUGACGGAGCAACGCCGCGUGAGUGAUGAAGGUCUUCGGAUCGUAAAACUCUGUUAUUAGGGAAGAACAAAUGUGGAAGUAACUAUGCACGUCUUGACGGUACCUAAUCAGAAAGCCACGGCUAACUACGUG